UACGUAGGGUGCGAGCGUUGUCCGGAAUUAUUGGGCGUAAAGGGUGCGUAGGCGGCCUGACAAGUCUGAUGUGAAAUCCCUGGGCUCAACCCAGGGCCUGCAUCGGAAACUGUCGGGCUUGAGUAUGGGAGAGGUGAGUGGAAUUUCCGGUGUAGCGGUGAAAUGCGCAGAUAUCGGGAAGAACACCCGUGGCGAAGGCGGCUCUCUGGGACGGUACUGACGCUGAGACGCGAAAGCGUGGGGAGCGAACAGG
rnacentral:rRNA from 1 species